UACAGAGGGGGGCAAGCGUUAUUCGGAAUUAUUGGGCGUAAAGGGCGCGUAGGCGGCUUGGCAAGUGGAUGGUGAAAUCCCCUCGGCUUAACCGAGGAACUGCCAUCCAGACUGCUUUGCUUGAGGCCGGGAGAGGUGAGUGGAAUUCCCAGUGUAGCGGUGAAAUGCGUAGAUAUUGGGGAGGAACACCAGUGGCGAAGGCGGCUCACUGGACCGGUUCUGACGCUGAUGCGCGAAAGCGUGGGGAGCAAACGGG
rnacentral:rRNA from 1 species